rnacentral:rRNA from 1 species
UACGUAGGGCGCAAGCGUUAUCCGGAAUUAUUGGGCGUAAAGAGCUCGUAGGCGGUUUGUCGCGUCUGCCGUGAAAGUCCGGGGCUCAACUCCGGAUCUGCGGUGGGUACGGGCAGACUAGAGUGAUGUAGGGGAGACUGGAAUUCCUGGUGUAGCGGUGAAAUGCGUAGAUAUCGGGAGGAACACCAGUGGCGAAGGCGAGUCUCUGGGCUGAUACCGACGCUGAGGCGCGAAAGCCAGGGGAGCAAACGGG